UAAAGUGAAUUCAUACAAGAUAUAUGCACUUAUGUCUGGACAGACUGGACAACUGGGUGGUAAGAAAUCUCAUGAAGUUCAACAAGCGCAAGUACAAGGUCCUCCACCUGGGGACCCCUCAGCAACCAUCAGCUGUUAUUAGAAAUGCAGAACAUCAGAACAUCACAUGAAACACCUUAUAACUGAAAGUAUCAGAAGGGGAAGGAGGAAGUCAGAACAUAUUUGCUAAAGUCGAGAAUUGACAAUCUACUAUUAAAAAAAAGGAAAGAAAGAAAAUAUAAGCUACAGAAAGCAACAGAACUGUGCCAGUAUGGCUUAUGGGUUACAACAGCCUUACUUUCUCCCAAAUUCAUCCUUCUCCAACCUACUGAAUCAUUCA